AUUGAACGCUGGCGGCAUGCCUUACACAUGCAAGUCGAACGGCAGCGGGGGAGAAGCUUGCUUUUCCUGCCGGCGAGUGGCGAUCGGGUGAGUAAUACAUCGGAACGUGCCCUGUAGUGGGGGAUAAUUAGUCGAAAGAUUAGCUAAUACCGCAUACGACCUGAGUGGGAACGUGGGGGAUCGCAAGGCAUCAAGCUUUAGUAGCGCCCGAUGUCUGAUUAGCAAGUUGGUGGGGUAAAGGCCUACCAAGGCGACGAUGAGUAGCUGGUCUGAGAGGCCGAUGAGCCACACUGGGACUGAGACACGGCCCAGACUCCUACGGGAGGCAGCAGUGGGGAAUUUUGGACAAUGGGCGAAAGCCUGUUCCAGCAAUGCCGCGUGUGUGAAGAAGGCCUUCGGGUUGUAAAGCACUUUUGUCCGGAAAGAAAUGGCUCUGGUUAAUACCUGGGGUCGAUGACGGUACCGGAAGAAUAAGGACCGGCUAACUACGUGCCAGCAGCCGCCGUAA
rnacentral:rRNA from 1 species